AUUCAGCUGACAAGUCCCAUAUAGGACGAGAGACGUGUCCUGGAU
rnacentral:hammerhead_ribozyme from 1 species